GAAUUCGCCCUUAGAGUUUGAUCCUGGCUCAGGACGAACGCUGGCGGCGCGCCUAACACAUGCAAGUCGAACGAGCGAGAGAGAGCUUGCUUUCUCGAGCGAGUGGCGAACGGGUGAGUAACGCGUGAGGAACCUGCCUCAAAGAGGGGGACAACAGUUGGAAACGACUGCUAAUACCGCAUAAGCCCACGGCUCGGCAUCGAGCAGAGGGAAAAGGAGCAAUCCGCUUUGAGAUGGCCUCGCGUCCGAUUAGCUAGUUGGUGAGGUAACGGCCCACCAAGGCGACGAUCGGUAGCCGGACUGAGAGGUUGAACGGCCACAUUGGGACUGAGACACGGCCCAGACUCCUACGGGAGGCAGCAGUGGGGAAUAUUGCACAAUGGGGGAAACCCUGAUGCAGCGACGCCGCGUGGAGGAAGAAGGUCUUCGGAUUGUAAACUCCUGUUGUUGAGGAAGAUAAUGACGGUACUCAACAAGGAAGUGACGGCUAACUACGUGCCAGCAGCCGCGGUAAAACGUAGGUCACAAGCGUUGUCCGGAAUUACUGGGUGUAAAGGGAGCGCAGGCGGGAAGACAAGUUGGAAGUGAAAUUCAUGGGCUCAACCCAUGAACUGCUUUCAAAACUGUUUUUCUUGAGUAGUGCAGAGGUAGGCGGAAUUCCCGGUGUAGCGGUGGAAUGCGUAGAUAUCGGGAGGAACACCAGUGGCGAAGGCGGCCUACUGGGCACCAACUGACGCUGAGGCUCGAAAGUGUGGGUAGCAAACAGGAUUAGAUACCCUGGUAGUCCACACUGUAAACGAUGAUUA
rnacentral:rRNA from 1 species